rnacentral:rRNA from 1 species
UUAAUAAUGUUCUUACUAUUAGGAUUUAUAUUGUUGAUUUAGGAGAAGUAACUUUGUUAAAAGUAUUAUAUUGAAAUUAAGGGUUUAGUGAUAGUGUAUUAGUACCGUGAGGGAAUGUUGAAAUAUUUUGAAAUAUUUUAUUUUUUGUAAGUAUAUCUCGUUUGUAGUACCUUUUGUAUCAGGGUUGGUCUAAUAUUUUUAAUUUAUUUUUAUUUCUCGAUUUUACAAGAGCUGAUUUAUUAAUGUGGUUACUGUGACAUGAGUAUCAUUAAUAUUUAUCUGGGGAGAUAUUUUAUUCGUUUGUAAGGGUAUCUAGUUCUUUAGGAAUUAAAUUUAAUUUAUUUCUAUUACUUAUUUAUUUUAUUAUUAAAAUAUUUAUUUGGUAGAUCAUUUAUUGUAGGGGCUAAUCUCUGCUUUAUUUCUAUAAUUAUUAUUUUUUAGGUUUAGUAGGGUUAAAAUCAUCCUUCUUUUAAUUACGUUAUAGUGUGUUCUAUUUUAUGUGGAUUUAAUUAUUUUUUAGUAUCAUACUAAGGUGUUUUGUUUAAUUUUAAAUCAUCAUUAAUAAUGGUUGAAUUAGUAUAGUCUUAUUGUUUAUAGUUGUUGUUUUGUGAUCUUUUUUUAAGGAACUCGGCAAAUGUGGUUGCUCGCCUGUUUAUCAAAAACAUGUCCUCUUGUUUGUUAUAUGAGGUCAAGCCUGCCCGGUGAUAAUUAUUUAACGGCCGCGGUAUUUUGACCGUGCAAAGGUAGCAUAAUCAUUAGUCUUUUAAUAGGGGGCUGGAAUGAAGGGCUUGACGAGGCACUAACUGUCUCAAUUUAAUAAUUUAAAAUUUAGCUUUUGAGUCAAAAGGCUCAAAUUUUUUUGGAAGACGAGAAGACCCUAUAGAGCUUUAAUGGUCAAUUUUAAUAGCUGUUUUGUUUUAUUUUAUUGUUGUUGAUUAGACUUUUUUGUUGGGGCGACAAAAGAUAUAUAUUUAACUUUUAUUAUUUAUUAUACAUUUAUUUAUGGUUCUUAGAUCCAUUAUUAUUGAUUAAUAGAAUAAGUUACCUUAGGGAUAACAGCGUAAUCUUCCUCCAGAGCUCGAAUUUACAGGAAGGCUUGCGACCUCGAUGUUGGAUUAAGAUAAUGAUUGGGUGCAGCAGCCCAGUUAAUAGGUCUGUUCGACCUUUAAAUUCUUACAUGAUCUGAGUUCAGACCGGUUUAAGCCAGGUCGGUUUCUAUCUCCAAUUUUGUUGUAGUUUUUAGUACGAAAGGACCAUUACUAUAAGAUAUUCUUUUUUUUUGAUUACCAUUA